rnacentral:rRNA from 2 species
CACGUAGGAGGCGAACGUUAUCCGGAUUUACUGGGCGUAAAGCGCGUGUAGGUGGUUUGGUAAGUAGGGCGUGAAAGCUCCUGGCUCAACUGGGAGAGGCCGUUCUAAACUGCCGAACUAGAGGAUGGUAGAGGGAGGUGGAAUUCCGGGUGUAGCGGUGGAAUGCGCAGAUAUCCGGAGGAACACCAGUGGCGAAAGCGGCCUCCUGGACCACUCCUGACACUCAGACGCGAAAGCUAGGGUAGCAAACGGG